rnacentral:rRNA from 1 species
UACAGAGGUGGCAAGCGUUGUUCGGAAUUACUGGGCGUAGAGGGCGCGUAGGCGGUGCUCUAAGUCCCGUGUGAAAUCCCCCGGCUCAACUGGGGAAUGGCACGGGAAACUGGAGUGCUUGAGGGUGGGAGAGGAAAGCGGAAUUCCUGGUGUAGCGGUGAAAUGCGUAGAUAUCAGGAGGAACACCUGCGGUGUAGACAGCUUUCUGGACCACUUCUGACGCUGAGACACGAAAGCGUGGGUAGCAAACAGG